rfam:Mycobacterium ulcerans str. Harvey Harvey.contig.128, whole genome shotgun sequence.
ACAGAGCCUUGAUCAAGGCUCCCGGACGAUGGGUGCCGUACCCGGUGUGCGACAAGACGGCCCGGG